CCCGGGAAACUGGGAUUAAUUCCCCAUAGCAUCCGGAGACCGCAUGGUCACCGGAUUAAAGCUUUGGCGCCUGAAGAUGAGCGUGCGUCUGAUUAGCUUGUUGGUGAGGUAACUGCUCACCAAGGCGAUGAUCAGUAGCGGGUCUGAGAGGAUGAUCCGCCACACUGGGACUGAGACACGGCCCAGACUCCUACGGGAGGCAGCAGUAGGGAAUAUUGGACAAUGGGGGCAACCCUGAUCCAGCCAUCCCGCGUGCAGGAUGACGGUCCUAUGGAUUGUAAACUGCUUUUCUCAGGGAAGAAAUCUGCGCGUUCUCGCGCAGUUGACGGUACCUGAGGAAUAAGCACCGGCUAACUCCGUGCCAGCAGCCGCGGUAAUACGGAGGGUGCAAGCGCUAUCCGGAUUUACUGGGUUUACAGGGUGCGUAGGCGGUGGGCUAAGUCAGUGGUGAAAGCCCGGAGGCUCAACUCUGGAACUGCCAUUGAUACUGUCUCACUUUGAGUUGCGGUCGAGGUAGGCGGAAUACAGCAAGUAGAGGUGAAAUUCAUCGAUAUGCUGUAGAACACCGAUUGC
rnacentral:rRNA from 1 species